CCAAUAGCGUAUAUUAAAGUUGUUGCAGUUAAAAAGCUCGUAGUUGAAUUUCAGGCCUGGCUGGACGGUCCGCCCUUCGGGUGAGUACUGUCUGUGGUCGGGUCCUACCUUCUGGCGAAGCGUCAUGGCCUUAACCGGCCGUGGCGGGGAACCAGGACUUUUACUGUGAAAAAAUUAGAGUGUUCAAAGCAGGCAAUCGCUUGGAUACAUUAGCAUGGAAUAAUGGAAUAGGACAAUGGUUCUAUUUGUUGGUUUCUAGGACCGUUGUAAUGAUUAAUAGGGAUAGUUGGGGGCAUUAGUAUUCAAUUGUCAGAGGUGAAAUUCUUGGAUUUAUUGAAGACUAACUACUGCGAAAGCAUUUGCCAAGGAUGUUUUCAUUAAUCAAGAACGAAAGUUAGGGGAUCGAAGACGAUCAGAUACCGUCGUAGUCUUAACCAUAAACUAUGCCGACUAGGAAUCGGGCGACGUUAUUUUCAUGACUCGCUCGGCGCCUUAUG
rnacentral:rRNA from 1 species